CCCUUAGAGUUUGAUCCUGGCUCAGAUUGAACGCUGGCGGAAUGCUUUACACAUGCAAGUCGAACGGCAGCACGGGGGCAACCCUGGUGGCGAGUGGCGAACGGGUGAGUAAUACAUCGGAACGUGCCCAGUCGUGGGGGAUAACUGCGCGAAAGCGUAGCUAAUACCGCAUACGAACUCUGGUUGAAAGCGGGGGAUCGCAAGACCUCGCGCGAUUGGAGCGGCCGAUGGCAGAUUAGGUAGUUGGUGGGGUAAAGGCUCACCAAGCCGACGAUCUGUAGCUGGUCUGAGAGGACGACCAGCCACACCGGGACUGAGACACGGCCCAGACUCCUACGGGAGGCAGCAGUGGGGAAUUUUGGACAAUGGGCGCAAGCCUGAUCCAGCCAUUCCGCGUGCAGGAUGAAGGCCCUCGGGUUGUAAACUGCUUUUGUACGGAACGAAAAGCGCUGAGUUAAUACCUCGGCGUCAUGACGGUACCGUAAGAAUAAGCACCGGCUAACUACGUGCCAGCAGCCGCGGUAAUACGUAGGGUGCAAGCGUUAAUCGGAAUUACUGGGCGUAAAGCGUGCGCAGGCGGUGAUGUAAGACAGGUGUGAAAUCCCCGGGCUUAACCUGGGAACUGCAUUUGUGACUGCAUCGCUGGAGUGCGGCAGAGGGGGAUGGAAUUCCGCGUGUAGCAGUGAAAUGCGUAGAUAUGCGG
rnacentral:rRNA from 1 species